GACGAACGCUGGCGGCGUGCCUAAUACAUGCAAGUCGAACGCUUUUUCUUUCACCGGAGCUUGCUCCACCGAAAGAAAAAGAGUGGCGAACGGGUGAGUAACACGUGGGUAACCUGCCCAUCAGAAGGGGAUAACACUUGGAAACAGGUACUAAUACCGUAUAACACUAUUUUCCGCAUGGAAGAAAGUUGAAAGGCGCUUUUGCGUCACUGAUGGAUGGACCCGCGGUGCAUUAGCUAGUUGGUGAGGUAACGGCUCACCAAGGCAACGAUGCAUAGCCGACCUGAGAGGGUGAUCGGCCACACUGGGACUGAGACACGGCCCAGACUCCUACGGGAGGCAGCAGUAGGGAAUCUUCGGCAAUGGACGAAAGUCUGACCGAGCAACGCCGCGUGAGUGAAGAAGGUUUUCGGAUCGUAAAACUCUGUUGUUAGAGAAGAACAAGGAUGAGAGUAUUUUUUUCAUCCCGGGGCGGUAUCUACCAGAAGCC
rnacentral:rRNA from 1 species